GACGCGGGCAAAAUGGAAAAAGAGGUGGUCAUCAGGCGAGCGGCGCCGACGUGCGGGUCGCCGUGAUGUAGCCGGGCUCGCUGACCACCUCGGCGGCGGUGGGUUCGCGGAACCGCACCCAACAUCCGUGCGCCUGCCACAGCGGGUUGGCCGGUCGCGUGUUGGUGUCGUACACGUAUUGCACGCAGCCGGCGUGUGAAGUGCACCCGGCCUCGCAUGCGGCCUGUGUGGCGGCCGAGCCGAGGUAGGUACCCACAGAGGGGUCGGCAAUCCUCUGCGAGAGGGCCUCGUCGGCCAGGUUGGUGCGGAUCGAGUUGACGCCCGUCUGCACGGCAAAGCCCGUCGCCGUGGGUGUCGGUGUCGGCACCACUCCUCCGCCGCCCUCGUAGCGCGCCCGAUAAAUCAGCCAGCCGACGAGAGCGCCCACCAACAGCGCCAACAAGAGGCCGGCGAUGAUCCACGGCGCCGCGCCGAGGCCGCGCUCCACCGGCACUGCCGGAGCGGCCACCACGACAGGUGUCCCUGCCACUGACGCCAUCCAAGUAAUGGGGAUUUCCUUUUUUCUUAUUCCUUCUCUUUUCCCCUAUCUCCCUGUAUGUUUCCCUUUUUUUUCUCUAUUGCGCGUUGUUUUUCCGCUUUCCCUUUUU
rnacentral:lncRNA from 1 species